ACGUGAUUAGAAAGAAUAGCCUCCUGGAUCUAAACCUGAGCCUUGUUCUGUUGUUGGACUCCUGUGCUAGUCAUGGAUUGCCCAUAACAAAGACCAUGUUCAAGAAUAAGAGGGUCCACAUGUGAAC